rnacentral:rRNA from 1 species
AUACGGAGGGUCCGAGCGUUAUCCGGAUUUAUUGGGUUUAAAGGGUGCGUAGGCGGUUUUAUAAGUCAGCGGUGAAAUUUUCCGGCUCAACCGGGAUACUGCCGUUGAUACUGUAAGGCUAGGAUAUGGUUGCUGUGGGUGGAAUGUGUGGUGUAGCGGUGAAAUGCUUAGAGAUCACACAGAAUAUCGAUUGCGAAGGCAGCUCGCAAAGCCAUUAUUGACGCUGAUGAACGAAAGCGUGGGUAGC